AUUGAACGCUGGCGGCAGGCCUAACACAUGCAAGUCGGGCGAGCGGAGGGAGGGUGAGUAAUGUAUGGGGACCUGCCUGAUGGAGGGGGAUCACUCCUGGAAACUGUAGCUAAUCACGCUUACCAUCAGAUGAACCCAUAUGGGAUUAGCUUGUAGGUGAGGUAACGGCUCACCUAGGCGACGAUCCCUAGCUGGUCUGAGCGGAUGAUCAGCCACACUGGGACUGAGACACGGCCCAGACGCCUACGGGAGGCAGCAGUGGGGAAUAUUGCACAAUGGGCGCAAGCCUGAUGCAGCCAUGCCGCGUGUAUGAAGAAGGCCUUCGGGUUGUAAAGUACUUUCAGUCGGGAGGCGUUACCGACAGAAGAAGCACCGGCUAACUCCGUGCCAGCCGCCGCGGUAAUAC
rnacentral:rRNA from 1 species